CCGACUGUUUAAUUAAAACAAAGCAUUGUGAUGGUCAUAUGUGAUGUUUACACAAUGUGAUUUCUGCCCAGUGCUCUGAAUGUAAAUAUGGUGAAAACCUUUCAAGCGCGGGUAAACGGCGGGAGUAACUAUGACUCUCUUAAGGUAGCCAAAUGCCUCGUCAUCUAACUGUGACGCGCAUGAAUGGAUUAACGAGAUUCCAACUGUCCCUAUCUACUAUCUAGCGAACCUACAGCUUCGGGAACGGGCGAGGAAUAAUUAGCGGGGCAAGAAGACCCUGUUGAGCUUGACUCUAGUCAGAAAUUGUGAAAUGAUGCUAAAGGUAUAGUAUAGGUGGGAGGGAGAAAUCCCGAUCUUGAAAUACCACUACUUUGGACGUUGUUUUACUUAUUUAAUUACGUAGAAAUAUUGAACCUAGUUCAAUUUAAUUCUUGUAUAAAAUAAUCUAUAUAUGUAUAUAAUUAGGCUCAUUUUUUGCUUAUAUAUUGAAUUUAUUUAAUAUAUUUGAAUUAAAUGUAGUUGUGGUUAUUUACCUCUGUGAUUAUGAUCCUAAGUUAAAAACAUUUUCCGGUGGGGAGUUUGGCUGGGGCGGCACAUUUGUUACAGAAUAACACAAGUGUCCAAAGGGUAACUCAAUGAGAACAGAAAUCUCAUGUAGAGCAAAAAGGCAAAAGUUACCUUGAUUUUGAUUUUCCGUAAGAAUACAAACUGUGAAAGCAUGGCUUAUCGAUCCUUUAGAAAUUCAGGAUCUGAAACUAGAGGUGUCAGAAAAGUUACCACAGGGAUAACUGGCUUGUGGCGUCCAAGAGUCCAAAUCGACGACGCUUUUUGAUCCUUCGAUGUCGGCUCUUCCUAUCAUUGUGAAGCAGAAUUCACCAAGUGUCGGAUUGUUCACCCGUUAAAAGGGAACGUGAGCUGGGAUUAGACCGUCGUGAGACAGGUUAGUUUUACCCUACUAAUGAUAUAAAUACGUUAUAACAGUAAUUCAAUUUAGUACGAGAGGAACCGUUGAUUCAGACCUCUAGUAAUGCAAUUGCUUGAACAAGCAUUGUUGCAAAGCCACGUCUGUUUUGAUUAUGGCUGGAAGCCUCUAAGCCAGAAUCAAAGCUGAAAAUAAUGUAUUGUUCUUACUAUGCAAGUGCAAAAAUAGUAUAAAAUUUAUUUUAUACCAACACCAUUCCCUGUGUUUGU
rnacentral:rRNA from 1 species